rnacentral:rRNA from 1 species
AAUGGGCGAGAGCCUGAACCAGCCAAGUCGCGUGAAGGAAGACUGUCCUAUGGAUUGUAAACUUCUUUUGUACGGGAAUAAAGUGGGCUACGUGUAGCCUUUUGUAUGUACCGUACGAAUAAGGAUCGGCUAACUCCGUGCCAGCAGCCGCGGUAAUACGGAGGAUCCGAGCGUUAUCCGGAUUUAUUGGGUUUAAAGGGUGCGUAGGUGGAUUGAUAAGUCAGUGGUGAAAGUUUGCAGCUUAACUGUAAAAUUGCCGUUGAAACUGUCGGUCUUGAGUGCAAAUGAGGUAGGCGGAAUGCGUCGUGUAGCGGUGAAAUGCUUAGAUAUGACGCAGAACUCCGAUUGCGAAGGCAGCUUACUGGGAUGCAACUGACACUGAGGCACGAAAGCGUGGGUAUCAAA